rnacentral:tRNA from 1 species
GAUAAUAUGGCAGAUUAGUGCAUUAGGUUUAAACCCUAAUUAUGGGUAUACCCUUUUAUCA